rnacentral:rRNA from 1 species
UACGUAGGUGGCAAGCGUUGUCCGGAAUUAUUGGGCGUAAAGCGCGCGCAGGCGGUCCUUUAAGUCUGAUGUGAAAGCCCACGGCUCAACCGUGGAGGGUCAUUGGAAACUGGGGGACUUGAGUGCAGAAGAGGAGAGCGGAAUUCCACGUGUAGCGGUGAAAUGCGUAGAGAUGUGGAGGAACACCAGUGGCGAAGGCGACUCUCUGGUCUGUAACUGACGCUGAGGCGCGAAAGCGUGGGGAGCAAACAGG